rnacentral:rRNA from 1 species
GACGAACGCUGGCGGCGUGGAUUAGGCAUGCAAGUCGGACGGUAGGGCUUUAUCGUAAGAUAGAGUUUGAGAGUGGCGAACGGGUGAGUAACACGUAGGAAUCUACCCUUAAGACGGGGACAACCCAGGGAAACUUGGGCUAAUACCGGAUGAGAGUGCGAGAGAUUGCAUUUAAAAGGAUGGCGAAAGUUGUCGCUUAGGGAUGAGCCUGCGGUCUAUUAGUUAGUUGGUGAGGUAAGAGCUCACCAAGGCGAUGAUAGAUAGGCGGCCUUAACGGGUGGUCGCCCACACUGGGAUUGAGAUACGGCCCAGACUCCUACGGGAGGCAGCAGUCGAGAAUAGUCUACAAUGGCCGGAAGACUGAUAGUGCGACGCCGCGUGAACGAUGAAAUCCCUUCGGGGUGUAAAAGUUCUUUUAAUAUGUGAGCAGUGCUUCUUAUAUUAACAGUAUGGGGAAGAGAUAUUAGCAUAUGAAUAAGCAACGGCUAAACUCCGUGCC